GAUAGCUUAUCUGUCACUAUAAUGUGUAAAUUGGGUUGAGGCAGUGGAAGACUGGAAGAUUUUGGGGCAAAUAUUUUGUACUUGAUAGGUUGAUGUUGUAUAAGUUCUUUUUGGGUGUAAUGAAAUAUCAAUGACAAAUCUAGAUUGAUGUAUCUUGUAAAUAUUUGAAAAGUACCUAUUACGUCAGGAUUUUGGAAAUGUUAAGUCUAAACUGUG
rnacentral:lncRNA from 1 species